rnacentral:rRNA from 1 species
UCAGUGGGGGACAACAGUUGGAAACGACUGCUAAUACCGCAUAAUGUUUUCGGACCGCAUGAUCUGAAAACCAAAGCUUUAUGUGCUGAGAGAUGACCUCGCGUCUGAUUAGCCUAAGUUGGUGGGGGUAAACGGGCCCACCAAGGCGACGAUCAGUAGCCGGUCUGAGAGGAUGAACGGCCACAUUGGGACUGAGAUACGGCCCAGACUCCUACGGGAGGCAGCAGUGGGGAAUAUUGGGCAAUGGGGGAAACCCUGACCCAGCAACGCCGCGUGAAGGAAGAAGGCCUUCGGGUUGUAAACUUCUUUUACCAGGGACGAAGAACGUGACGGUACCUGGAGAAAAGCGACGGCUAACUACGUG